rnacentral:rRNA from 1 species
GACGAAGGGGGCUAGCGUUGUUCGGAAUUACUGGGCGUAAAGCGCGUGUAGGCGGUUGUUCAAGUCAGGUGUGAAAGCCUUGAGCUCAACUCAAGAAAUGCACUUGAUACUGGAUGACUAGAGGACCGGAGAGGAUAGUGGAAUUCCCAGUGUAGUGGUGAAAUACGUAGAGAUCGGGAAGAACACCCGUGGCGAAGGCGACGUGCUGGGCUGAACCUGACGCUGAGAUGCGAAAGUGUGGGGAGCAAACGGG